GGCACAGAGAACUUCAGUAUCAUGCCAAUUGAAACUGCUGGUCUGGGGAAUUUGGCUGUUAUCUCUCUAAUCCUGAGUUCUUGGAAAGUCAGAGAACAGCUGAGUUUCAGCCUGGUGACAGGGAACUUUAGUAUGAGUGACACCAUUUUGAUUUUUUGACUGGUCUGAUGGGGCCCAGGGCAGGAGCCUCAUCCAAAACAACGGCCUCCUGUUAUUUUUAUGUAACAGGCUCCUAUGGGAUUGUGGAGGAGGUUCCUGGCAGUGUCCUGGGUGGGCAGGAGAAGCUGCAUCACAGAUAAUGCCUCUGCCUGCAGGUACUGAAGCACACCUUUAUCAGGGCAGUAGCCCUGGGCUCCUGGGUAACAGGAAAACCAAGAAACACGGACUGCAAAGCCAGUCCAACCCCAACAUGGCGUGUUUCACGUUGGCCGGGAACUACAUCCCUGCCUCCUCAUUGUCACAUGACAUCUCUGUUUCCUGUAUUCAGAAGUAAAAACAAUGAAAGAGAGGCGACAGAUGUCCCUCCACUGAAUCCUUGGAAUGAGGCUUUUCUCCACCUUGGUGGAGUAGCAGAAGCAGAAAGCAACUGAGCCCUGGUACUGUCAUUCUAGCAGCUCACGAGUGAAAUGUACCUCAAGCUUGUAAAAUGUCCAUUUCAAAAGGUGAAUUCUGUUCCUUGGUUGAAAUAAGAACGCAUGCACUAAUGUCUCCUUCAAGACCGAUACAAAAGCCAAGUGGAAUCUGAUAUCUCUCACUCCCCCGUAGGAGUGUUUCCCCAAGGACAGCCCCGGUGAACCCCCAAAUCCUCAUAACCCCUUCUCUGGAACUGCUGAUAGGGGGUCAGGACUUGCCGCCCCAGAAUAUACCACUUUGUUAAAACGGCCAAGAAGGUGUCAGAUCUAACUGCUUCUUGGGGUUUUCAUUUCUUUUUCU
rnacentral:lncRNA from 1 species